rnacentral:rRNA from 1 species
AGUGAACGCUGGCGGUAGGCCUAACACAUGCAAGUCGAACGGCAGCACAGUAAGAGCCUGCUCUUACGGGUGGCGAGUGGCGGACGGGUGAGGAAUACAUCGGAAUCUACUUUUUCGUGGGGGAUAACGUAGGGAAACUUACGCUAAUACCGCAUACGACCUACGGGUGAAAGCAGGGGAUCUUCGGACCUUGCGCGAUUGAAUGAGCCGAUGUCGGAUUAGCUAGUUGGCGGGGUAAAGGCCCACCAAGGCGACGAUCCGUAGCUGGUCUAAGAGGAUGAUCAGCCACACUGGAACUGAGACACGGUCCAGACUCCUACGGGAGGCAGCAGUGGGGAAUAUUGGACAAUGGGCGCAAGCCUGAUCCAGCCAUACCGCGUGGGUGAAGAAGGCCUUCGGGUUGUAAAGCCCUUUUGUUGGGAAAGAAAAGCAGCAGGUUAAUACCCCGCUGUUCUGACGGUACCCAAAGAAUAAGCACCGGCUAACUUCGUG